UACGUAGGGUGCAGGCGUUAAUCGGAAUUACUGGGCGUAAAGCGUGCGCAGGCGGUUUGCUAAGUCAGGUGUGAAAUCCCCGGGCUUAACCUGGGAACUGCGCUUGUAACUGGCAAGCUGGAGUGUGGCAGAGGGAGGUGGAAUUCCACGUGUAGCAGUGAAAUGCGUAGAGAUGUGGAGGAACACCGAUGGCGAAGGCAGCCUCCUGGGCCAGCACUGACGCUCAUGCACGAAAGCGUGGGGAGCAAACAGG
rnacentral:rRNA from 1 species